rnacentral:lncRNA from 1 species
GGAUAUAGAAAGCUAAACAAAGAAAGAACAACUCAACAAGUUACGUGAAACUGAAAAUGAGAUGAGAAAAACUUGAUUUGCAACGGAGAUAAUACUGUUUUGUUAUCACUUAUGUCACAACGUUAUUAGACAGAAUUAGCAAAAUAGUGAUAUUCUUAUUUUAUUGAAGUCUUUCUCCUCAACGGAGCUCAAGUCCAAUUUAGAGGAAGAGAAAGAGGAGAAAGAAAGAAACUUAAGAAAGCUACAAGAUUAUAAUAAUCUUCCAGCUUCUCUAAUUAGUGGGCCUAUAGUUGUUGAAGUCCUUGAAACCAUUUCCUCAAACUCAGUGAGCUGGGUUGGUAUUAUGCUGUUUAAAUAUGGGACCUCAAAAAUCCAACUGAUCGGAGUCAAAGGGAGAAGAAAGAAGCAGUAAGAGGAAAGCUUUCUAUACAUUUUUUUCCCUCAAGUUCACUGCUGUUCACUAUUCAGAACAGCAACAACUAAUACCAAUAUUUUUUCUUUCUUUUAUAUUUCUUAACAUAAAAUCUGGUGCGGGAAAAAACAAAUAAACCUCUAAUUUACUUGUCCACCAAAAAAAAAAAAGACAAGCAUAUGAACUUCCAAAUUCCUCUGCUGAGCCUCAUAUACUGAAAAGAAAAGAAAUAAAAAUUGAAAAAGGAAAAGCCUCCUGCAUUUUAUUCCACAACAUUUGGCUGACACGGUUUUCAGAGCGCCUGGUCCAUCUACACAUGGUAGAGUUGGGAUUGCUUCUUUAAAAUAAAUAAUAAAAAAUUCAAAGAGUUACGGAUAAAAGUUAGAAAAGUUGGUCAUAGGAAUUUGUGAUUUGUUAUCUAGCAAACCGAAUAAAUUACAAUUUUCUUUAUAAAUGAUUUCAAUUACACAUUUAUAAAUAAAAAACUUUUGUUAAAGUUUGUUGAUGCACAAAAAUACUUGGAUAAUUUUGGGCUCAAUUUAGUGAUGAUGUUACUUUCAGUUUCGUGUGAGUUUCGGUAGAGUGAUCAAUCUGCAAGACAAAGAAUGCUCAAUAAACCCUUUGAUACUGGUGUGGUACCAGCUGAAGGCUUUCCAAUACUUAAAUUAGAAUAAGUAUGUUAUGAAUAGUGAUCUAGACAGAUUAAUGACAGUAUUGUCGAAUGUCGCAGUUACCUCCUUUUGGGACUUGUGCCCUUUCUUAUAAACUUCAGGAGGCUUGCAUCUUGAGUGGAAAUUUCAAGGUGGGACUCUGGACAUCACCUAAGGAGGCGCCAUGUGUACCUGUGAAGAAUUCAUAACCAAGUGUUUCUUCUGUUACAAUUGAUAGUUCAAAGUGCCGAAGGCUCACGCACUGCCGAUGGUGCUUUGAGAAACACAAUUGAUUAUUGGUUUUUCACGGGUCCUUUCGUGGGUCCGUUUUCCACGUGUCGUCUUCUGAUUUGCCGGUCAUAUAUGGUAUAAACAAGGUCAAUGAAAUUCAAUAUAAAAUUAAGGCAAAAUUGUAACAAUGGUCCCUGGACUAAGACCAAACUUUACUUUUCAUCCCUCAUAUUGCUAAAUUAUUACGGUGAUACUUUAAUUAUGCCUCCACUUUCAGAAAUCGUCA